UGUUCCCUAGUGAUGACACUAUCAGAGCCUCCAAAGCCACCCAUUUCCUUCAGCUAGCCUCCUGCUGGGCCCCAAUUCCCUCAGAUCAGGGUCUGGAUUUCAAGUGUAUAACCCCUGGGCAAGUCAGAUUCAGGCUGACCAUUUGUGGAGGAAGCUCCCAUAUCCUGAAGACAGACACUAGGAGAUGGUCACAGCAGAGCCAGGGGCAGCAGAAGCCUCCCAACCCAUCCACCCCUCCUCAGCCUGGCAGAUGUUCUGUCCUCAUCCCUUUUCUUCCAGGGCCUAGAUGCUAGGCUAGAAGCCCCAGAGAGGCUGGAAGCUGACCUAGGUUCAUGCAUUCUGAAAGACAAUAGACUCCAACAGAUCCUUGGGUGUGAGGAAACCUCUUUGCUCAACCCAAUCAUACCCCUUGAGCUAACCUCCAGUUCUGCCCCUAACCCACUCUAGGCCUGACCUGGAAGCCCUGAGGAGAUCUAGCUGAUGGCCAGGAGAUGCUCAUGGUGAUCUCUUUCUACCUGGAAGGUACUGGGUCCUGUCCUCAACCUCUGCUCCUGACAAAGAGUAAACAAAAAAACCAUAGCCCCUAUGUUUUCUUUGCUUGUAGAUAGAAAACUAAAAUGCCCACAAAGUUGGAUACCUGUUGGAUUACUGAAAAAUAUCCUCAAGAAAUGGACGGGUGUAUUUUCAUCGGCAAGUGCAGCAGGGCUGAAAAAGUCAGGCACAAACCCAGGAUGUCAAACCCCUCUUUGAGAUACCAGCCACCCCAGCCACCCAUAGGUUCUCUCUUUUCAUACAUGAGGAUGAUGCAAGCAUUCCUACUCUGGAUGGAUGCUCUCAGUGCCUACCUCACCAACACUUCAGUCAAGAGUCAGAGAAAUCUCUCCCUAAAUGAAAGUGCCAUUUCCAUAGACAGGCCAACUUGUUGAAGGUAUGGCUUCGAGUUAUUUUGAGCAGUGUGAGAGAACUAUCUGUAGGUUGUGGGACCUGCCUUCAUGUGUUCUGCUUCUGUAUUUGGAACUUUCACUUGUCCCAGACAAGACUGUUUAGCUCCCCAACAUCCAAGUUCAUGUCAGUUUCAGGGAAAUGGAUGAAUUUUCUUUAUUUAAAUUAAAAAAAAAAACAACCCAUAACUGAUUAAAGUGGAGCUUUCUAAUUAGUUGCACUAAGUUAGAUAAAAUGUGUUUUAUUAGGAAUCUGAACAUUUGUUUUUUGUUUGCAUAUCUCUGUUGUAGAGAAAAAGAAUUUUGGAUCUAUUUGCUGUUUGUAUUAAUAACUGGAUAAUGAGAGAAGGCACAUGGAGGUACUUUAACUGGGGCCAAAUGUUCUGUUUUAACAAUGAAGAGUUGAUGUCUGCAUCCAUGCCUAAGACCUGAUUUUCCCUAUAAUUUCAGUGUCAUUUCUGAUCUCUCC
rnacentral:lncRNA from 1 species